rnacentral:rRNA from 1 species
ACACANAAGUCGGUUUUACCCGAAGCCGGUGAGCCAACCCCGCAAGGGGAGGCAUCCGUUUACGGUAGGGCCGAUGAUUGGGGUGAAGUCGUAACAAGGUACC